rnacentral:tRNA from 2 species
GGGGAUAUAGCUCAGAGGUAGAGCACUUGCCUAGCAUUUGCAAGACCCUGGUUUCAAUUCACAGUACUGCCA